rnacentral:rRNA from 1 species
GAUGAACGCUGGCGGCGUGCCUAACACAUGCAAGUCGAGCGAAGCAUUUUAAAGGAAGUUUUCGGAUGGAAUUUGAAAUGACUGAGCGGGCGACGGGUGAGUACGCGUGAGGAACCUGCCUUUCAGAGGGGGACAACAGUUGGAAACGACUGCUAAUACCGCAUGAUGCAUGAUCAGGGCAUCCUGGACAUGCCAAAGAUUUAUCGCUGAAAGAUGGCCUCGCGUCUGAUUAGCUAGUUGGUGAGGUAACGGCCCACCAAGGCGACGAUCAGUAGCCGGACUGAGAGGUUGACCGGCCACAUUGGGACUGAGAUACGGCCCAG